rnacentral:rRNA from 1 species
AGAGAGAGACAUGCGCGCAUAUCAAUAAGCGGAGGAAAAGAAACUAACAAGGAUUCCCCUAGUAACGGCGAGUGAAGCGGGAAGAGCUCGAAUUUGAAAUCUUAAAGGGUUUCCCUUUACGAAUUGUAGUUUAAAGAAGUGUUUUCUGUUGAGGUUUUGGUAAAAGUUCUUUGGAAUAGGACAUCAUAGAGGGUGAGAAUCCCGUAUUUGACCUUUACUUUCAACUUUGUGAUACACUUUCAAAGAGUCGGAUUGUUUGGGAAUGCAGUCCAAAAUGGGUGGUAAAUUUCAUCUAAAGCUAAAUAUUGGCGAGAGACCGAUAGCGAACAAGUACCGUGAGGGAAAGAUGAAAAGAACUUUGAAAAGAGAGUUAAACAGUACGUGAAAUUGUCAAAAGGGAAGCGUUUGACACCAGUGUUGUUUUUCUGAAAAUCAAUUAAAGAACUGUUUAUGCUAAGUUGUUUAGACUUUAUCAGCUAACUGUUUAGUUUUGAGCUUUUCUUUAAUGCACUUUUCAGUUAACAAGUCAACAUCAGUUUCUUUUGCUGUAAAAGAGCUUGAGGAAGGUGGCUUGAGAUUCGUCUUAAGUGUUUAUAGCCUCUUGCCUAUGCAGUCGGAGAGAUUGAGGUCUGCAGCGUAGAUCCUUCGGGGCUAAAUGCAUUUGUGCUAAGUUAUAGCAUUUUAUAGACAACUUGUUGACUAUGAUUUGUCCUGUAGCUUACUCGCUUAUGUUAUUUUACCUACGCUUAGGAUGUUGAGCGCAUGUCUCUCUCU